UGGGGAAUCUUGCGCAAUGGACGAAAGUCUGACGCAGCGACGCCGCGUGGGUGAUGAAGGCCUUCGGGUUGUAAAGCCCUGUGGGGAGGGACGAAUAAGUUCCGGUUAAUACCCGGAGCGAUGACGGUAUCUCCUUAGCAAGCACCGGCUAACUCUGUGCCAGCAGCCGCGGUAAGACAGAGGGUGCAAACGUUGUUCGGAAUUACUGGGCGUAAAGCGAGUGUAGGCGGUUUCCUAAGUCAGGUGUGAAAGCCCCGGGCUCAACCCGGGAAGUGCACUUGAAACUGGGAGGCUAGAGUAUCGGAGAGGUUGGUGGAAUUCUCGGUGUAGAGGUGAAAUUCGUAGAUAUCGAGAGGAACACCGGUGGCGAAGGCGGCCAACUGGACGAAUACUGACGCUGAGACUCGAAAGCGUGGGGAGCAAAC
rnacentral:rRNA from 1 species